GUAGGCGUUCCGAGCGGCGGCGGAGGUGAGCGCACGGACGAGCGGGAGGGACCCUUCUCCGGCCUGAUGCGACCCGGUAACGCGUUCAGACUGCGGAGUAGCCUAGGGGCCCAGAGUGGAAGCGUAGCGAGGACCCCUCUGCGGGGCUCCUGCAGCCCCUCCUCCCCCAGCCACCGGCGGGCUGCAUGGUACUGUGUUCUAGGCCCACCCCGCAGCGCGAUGGCCCUAGGGACGUUGGACUUUGGUCCAGACCUUUCCUUUCUUAGCCUCACUUUCCGCAUUGGGAAAAAAAAAAAGCCCGAAUGAUAAUGAUUCUUAUAGGAGUUCUUGAUUAAGAUAGGCCAAGCGGUACCCUGCGUUUUUGUUUGCGGCAACUCAUUCGUUGCUCAUUAAGCACUUUUCACGGACAGGAAUACAAUUGUCCGCAGUGACUACACUCAUGGCAGGUCCCCUGUGGCGGACCGCAGCAUUUGUGCAGAGACACAGGACAGGCCUCUUGGUGGGUUCCUGUGCAGGCCUGUUUGGAGUUCCAAUCUCGUACCACCUCUUCCCGGAUCCCGUGGUCCAAUGGCUCUACCAGUACUGGCCUCAGGGCCAGCCAGCUCCGCUCCCUCCACAGCUGCAGAGCCUCUUCCAAGAGGUGCUACAGGACAUAGGUGUUCCUUCAGGCCAUUGCUACAAGCCCUUCACCACCUUCACCUUCCAACCUGUGAGUGCAGGCUUCCCAAGACUCCCUGCUGGGGCUGUGGUGGGCAUCCCUGCCAGUUUCUUGGGAGACCUAGUGAUCAACACUAACCAUCCCGUGGUCAUACAUGGGCAUACAGUGGACUGGCGGAGCCCAGCAGGCGCCCGGCUGAGAGCUUCCCUGACCUUGUCCCGUGAAGCCCAGAAGUUCGCCUUGGCCAGGGAAGUGGUGUACCUGGAAAGCAGUACCACUGCCGUGCACGCCCUGCUGGCCCCAGCUUGCCUGGCAGGGACCUGGGCACUGGGCGUGGGUGCCAAGUACACCCUGGGGCUCCAUGCAGGCCCCAUGAAUUUACGGGCUGCCUUCAGCUUGGUGGCAGCAGUGGCAGGCUUUGUGGCCUACGCCUUCUCCCAGGAUUCUCUCACUCAUGCCGUGGAGUCCUGGCUGGACCGCCGCACGGCCUCCCUCUCUGCAGCCUAUGCCUGUGGUGGAGUGGAGUUCUAUGAGAAGCUUCUGUCGGGCAACCUGGCCCUGCGCAGUCUCUUGGGCAAAGACGGGGAGAAGCUGUAUACACCCAGCGGGAACAUCGUCCCCAGACACUUGUUCCGAAUCAAACAUUUACCCUACACCACCCGCCGGGACUCUGUGCUGCAGAUGUGGAGGGGGAUGCUCAAUCCGGGCCGCUCCUGAUGGGCUCAUCACAAGGACACUUCCAGCUUGUGCAGACACCACCCUGCCAUUGAGUCUGGAGGGCCCUGUUGGAGCCUUUGGACCUAUAGCUCACGGCCAGAAAAAUCACUGGCUUUGGAAUUAAAUAGCUUAGAUUGUACUAUAACCACUACUUAUGAACUCAGGGACUAUGAGGGACUAUUCAGGGGCUAUGAAUCUGAGCCUUUGUUUCUUGAACUGUAAAGUGGAGAUGAUGUAAACCGCCUUGCAAGAUUGUAGAGUUGGGAAAGGGAACAUCACAGAAAGGUGAAGAAAUUUGCCCUAAAUCAUAAAACUUUGUAAGUGGCAGAACAAGGAUUUGAAGCUGGCAGUCUGGUUCCAGGUAUCGUUCUUAAAACACUAAAUUUAUACUGUCCUAUUUAGCCUGAAAGUUUCAUGGUGCAGACUUAUACUGUGGACUCCAUAGCCCUUUUCCUCAUGCUGGGUUAGAAGUAACUUUUUCAGGCUCACUAUUUUUAUUAGGAAAAAAUAGUCACUGAGCAGAACUUCCGAGGAGACCCCUCCAGCUAACUGAAGAGAAAGGGACAACCAGCCUACCAUGUUUAGUGCAGCAGGGGGAACAGGACGGAAGGGCAGGGUGUCAUGGAGCUCUAGGAGGCACCAGCUGAGGAAAGGGGAUCUCAGGAGGUAGGGAGAGAGCAGAGUGGGCAGCCAGCUGUGGGUUCAAAUCCUGGCCUACCACUUUAACAGGGCGAUCUGGAACAAGUGACUUCUGGUCCUGAGUUUCCUGUCUGUAAAAUGGGUGCAUUCCUAUCUAUCUUUCAGGAUUGUUUUGACGAUGAAAGUGAAAGAAAGUUUGCAAAAUGUGGAGCCUGGUGAGGGCAUAUAGUAGGCUUUAAAAAAAAGAUUGAUUUUCUAAAUGUUAGUGCUCCUAAAUGGCAUAAGGUGUUCAGGUCUUGGAGUUGCUGCCCAAAUACCAGCAAUUUCCAGAGAACUCGCUGCUGCCUAAUACAGCUUUAUUUUAAAGCUUUUCAAAGCCCCAGUUCAGUUAGGGCAGUUUUCCCAGUGGCUAUCAGUUGGCAUCUUCUGGAAGGUACUUGGCAGCAGCUGAAAGCAGAGGACACAUGUGGCCUUAGGGGGAAACACCAGGCUGGAGAAGAGGGCAUUAGCGUGGACGGUGGUCCUUUACACCUACUCUACAGGGAAUGUUUUUCUUUUUCUUUCUCUCUCUUUCUUUUUUUCUUUUCUUUUUCUUUUGAGAAGAGUCUUACUCAGCCUUGGCCUCCUGGACUCAAUCAACCCUCCCACCUCAUCCCCCUAGUACUGGGAAUACAGGUGUGCACCACCAUGCCCAGCUAAUUUUUUUUUUCUUUGUUGUAGAGAUGGGGUUUUACUAUGUUACCCAGGCUGGUCUUGAACUUCUGUUCUCAAGAGAUCCACACACCUCAGCCUCCCAAAGUGCUGGGAUUACAGGCGUGAGUCACUUCACCUGGCCCAUACUGGUAAUUUUAAAAUACUAAAGCAUUAAGUGUUAGUAAGGUUGUAGUAAAAUUGAUACAAGCAUAUGCCCUUGGUGACAUUUGUGUUAGGCAGCUUUUAAGAUGACCCUAAUGAUCCCUGGUCCUAAUAUUUUUGGCCCUGGUUCAUAAUCCACUCCCCUUGCUCCUCUUGGUUCUAAACAAUAGAAUACAGAUAUACAUUGAGGGUAUAUCACCUCAGUGAUUAGAUUACAACAGAUUAUGACUUCUGUCUUGCUAAGAGGCCCUUGUCUUCUUGGCUUCACAUGUUUUAUCUUGAAGCACGUUGCCAUGUUGGAGAGACCCACAUGGCGAGGAACUAAAGGCAGCCUCUGAGCAAACAGCCAGCUAACAGCUGGGGCCCUUGGGCCACAAGGCACUGAAUCCUACCAAGAACCGUGUGAGCCUGGAAUAGAAUCCUUCCCUACUCAAGCUUUCAGAUGAGACUGCAUGUAUUAAUCCAUUCUCAUGCUGCUAUGAAGAAAUACCCAAAACUGUGUGAUUUAUAAAGAAAAGAGGUUUAAUUAACUCACAGUUCCACAUGGCUGGGGAGGCCUCAGGAAACUUACAAUCAUGGCAGAAAGCACCUUUUCACAGGGCAACAGGAGAGAGAAUGAGUGUCAGCAGGGAAAAUGGAAGUAGAAAAUCAUCAGAUCUCUUGAGAACUCACUCGCUAUCAUGAGAACAGCAUGGGGAAACCAUCCCCAUGAUUCAGUUACCUCCUACCAGGUCCCUCCCGUGAUACAUAGGGAUUAUGGGAUUACAAUUCAAGAUGAGAUGUGGGUGGGGACACAAAGCCAAAUCAUAGCACCCCAGCCUCAGCCAGCACCUUCACUGCAGCCUUGAGAGCCCCUGGAGCAGAGAAGCAGCUAACCUGUGCCUGGAUUCCUGACCCACAGAAACAAGAAGACAAUAAAUCCAUGUUGUAGUAA